rnacentral:misc_RNA from 1 species
ACCGCGUCGCCCCCUCCCCCUCCGGGGGGAACGGGGCGGAGACUGGCCCCCCGUGUGCCUCACGGCGCGCGGCCGGCCCAAACGCAGACCCCGCGGCCGCUGGACGGCGCGACGAUCGGUGGAGUAGACCCUACGCAUCCCGUCGCGCCCCGAGCGGCCCUCGGAGGCCACGAUCGACCCUCAGUGAAACCACCG